ACAAUAUAGACAAGCAAUGCAAGCCAACAAAGAAAAUUAGUUAGGGAAGCACCGAGUUCGCCAGAGGUAGCAGAACGUUUGUCGAGCCAUCCAAUAUCGCCAACGGUGGCUACACUAGAGGUAUGUGAUGCCUCGACCACCCUAAAAAACAGCCUUGCUAUUCCCCCUUCCCUUUCUUCUUGAGAAUGGUUGUAGCUAACUGAGUGCCCUCAGUCAGUCCCUCAAGCUUUUCUGUAUUCAGAGAUGGUAACUGAGCACUAGGUUGUUAUCUGUGUUGUUUGAUUUUUUCCAUGCACUGUGGCUGGACAUGAUGUUGGCAAAUACACUAGACAUCAUGGGCUGAGACAAUACAAUAGAAAUCAUGUCGAGGCUGGAAAAUUUGCUGAACUUGUGGUUGUUAGCAAUAAACCAUGCGUUGUGGCGUGCGUGGGUGCGCAUGUGUGUUGUGGUGGUGCGUGAGCCUGGGUUAGGCUGUUGGCGAUAGUUGUGGGAGGCCGUUGGCGUUCUGUUGAGGGAGGCCCGCGAUGUGCGCGUGUGGGACGCGUCGAGGGAGUGGACCGGACCAAGCGGAUCGUGGCGUGCAAGCAGCGUCGUGCGUGUAUGGGCAGCGGUGUUGGCCUGGGUAUAAGAACUCCUCCCUUGUGUAUGCUUGUAAGUUGAGCCGAGAGGAAGAAAUACAAGAGAGAAAAAAGGCCCCGGCGUUCCUUGCCAGGGUGGGCGUCCGUCGCCGCGGGUGUUUGUCGCCCGGCAAAAUCGUCUCCUCAUAUUCUUGUGAUUGUUUGUCAAUCCUCGGUUCCAACAGUGGUGCCUGUGUUCCUUCUCACAGUAGUUGUUUUAUGUGGUGAAAGUUUUAGAGGCCAAAUAACAGUUAUGUUGUUCCAGGCUUUUCAGUCCAAGCAGAUUUAUGUUUGCAAGAAUUAGUGUACUUACAUGCAGAACCAGUUUUUCGUAGAUAAUUGCUUACAAGAUUUAUGUGGUUAAUAUUUCUGCAGAGUUUUCAAACAAGAGUGAAACCUAUAAUGAUGAGUGAUUGUUAUGGUAUGAUUACUAGAUCAAUAAUUCAUAGCAGGGAAGCAAUUUUACUGGAACAAGUAAAUCCAGUAUUAAACUUAGUAACUUGUUGGGUAGAUCAGAUUAGAUGCGGCUUAAACCUUCACCGCUCCCUGCCAUUUAGUACUGGCUGGAGUCUGUUUGAGCUGACCAAUGUGGAGCAGAGUUGCAAUGGAGAUACCCAGUCUCACAUGCUUUAUUCUACUUCUUGUAGUAUAACAGAGCUUGGUUGUAGCUAACAGUCAGUCCCUCAAGAUUUUGUGUAUUUAGAAAUUUAUUUAGAGAUGGUAAAAUAAAGAUCUUGAUGUAUCGAUGGUUUGCGGUAGUGGGGCUGUUCUGUUACAGUUUAGGAUACUCAAAUUCCUCCUGCUCGUAUCAUCGUCUCCGUGUAAUGUGAUGUAGCACAGUACUAUGCACUUCUGCACUAAGCCCAGAACCUAGCUAGCUUACUUGAGGGUCGGCUCCGGAUUUUGACGAUUGUGUUUGUGUAUAAUUUUUGAGGGGCUGUAGAGAGUCAAUUAACAAGUCAAUUAAUACAAACCUGUUUUUCUCUACGGUCCUCUGAACAUACUCGCUAUAAGAACAUAUAUUUCAAUAUUUGAGCACUGAAAAAAUUGUCAAAUUGACUAACUGCCAUGUGAAAAAGUAGCAAGAACGAACUCAGGAAAUUCUGCAAAUGAUAUCAGCAUUGGUUUGUGUAGAACUGUGGAUGUUUCUCUUGCAAGUCUAGGUUUUAGAGAAAAAAAUCCUGCAGUUGUUUGGGUAAUGUUUUUUUGGUUAGGAAUUAGGAGAAUUGUUAUGUAGUAAAAUUACCAAAAUUCUUACAAAAUAUUCUGCAAGUUUUGUUUGCUGAGCAAAGCCAACUGCUUGCCACUAUGUGCGGUUCUCUUGCCAUUUCAUGGGGUGCAACCGCAAGUGGCACAAGACUGUAGUUGUGGUGUUCUAAAAUUUACUGGUGUUGAUGUUUCUUUUCAAGAUUGUGGUAUUGUUUACCAAUUUGGUCCCCGGGUUAUGUACUCAUUUCCUUUUCUAUUCUUUGUAGAUAAUUUGCUUCAGUUCAUCGAACUACCUGCUGAAACAUGUGUAUUGUUUCUCAAUAUAUUGGGCAUCUAUCCACCUCUCAUGAGAUCUCUGAAUUUUCGACGCAUAUUGUAUUUGCUGAAUUAUUUCCUCCAGAUAACUAUGCUUGAAUUCACAAAUGCGUGCAAUGCUUUCAAGUAGAGGUUAGUUCAAUACUUAAGUUGUGCUAUUCCUCUUUCAAGUUUUUGGUCCUAGAAGUGUAAUACUUGGUAGGUGAGCUGCAAAAACGGAAUGUACAUGGCCUG
rnacentral:lncRNA from 1 species